AAUACAGCAGGGCACCAUAGUCUGAAGGAGGAGGUGUCGUGCGGGAGCAGAGAGGACUGAAAGAAUCUGGUUUGCAGCAGAAUGUCUCUUCAAGCCAGUGGACAAGUUGAGGAGGAAAUAAACCAGAAAAGGAGGAGAGAGGGAUUCUGAAGAUUUGAUUUCUUCAGAUACAUACAUUUCUGCAUCACUAAAGACAAGGCAGUGUGAUUUUGGAUCCCCUGAUUAUUUCAUCCAAGUUGAAUCUCUAAGUGACAAGGAUUCCUCUCUGGAGCUGUCUGCUUCUUGCCAUGCACUGAGUACCUGAAGUGCUGUUACAUCUUGUUUCCACAAGUCACAACUUGCUGCAAGGGGAGAGCUCAGCUCGAGCCCAGGGUCAAUUCUGCAGCCACCGGUAAUGCUAAGAAAAGGCUGGUGGGAGAUUAGGCAGAAAUGCACAUUCAAUAAAGUCAAAAGGAUUUUGUCUCCCUAAAGGUUU
rnacentral:lncRNA from 1 species